AAUGGCAGAUCAGUGCAUAGGAUUUAAGCUCCUAAUAGAAAAUUUUUAAUUUUUUUUAGAA
rnacentral:tRNA from 1 species